rnacentral:misc_RNA from 1 species
UUCCGGGUGGGGUGACGAACUGCUUCCCUCACUUUCGAUCAGUUGUUGCUCCGCGAGCUAAACGUCGGAUGCGAGAUGUGGGUUCCUGUGUUGCAUACCUAUUGCGACGGAAAUGUGUGCCUUCGGUAGUCCCUUCCAUCACGACGUCCUCUUGGAUGCUCGGUUGGACCGGAUAGUGGGGCUCGUGUUCCACGAACGUCGUCUCAUUCGAUCGUUCGGACGGACCACGAGUGCCUACUCGUUCUCUCGGAUGCGGAACUCUCGCAAUGGGAGUGGGGUCAUUGGCCCUUCUUCCCUAAUCGUUAAGCGUUUAUCGCUUCACCCGAAUGACGAUCUUGCCUUGUCCUUGAUCGCGCGAAGCCCUCGGGCAUCGCGGCGGAUCAUGCUCGGCGGACGUCGUGAAGGAAUGCUACCUGGUUGAUCCUGCCAGUAGUCAUAUGCUUGUCUCAAAGAUUAAGCCAUGCAUGUUAAGAGACUCG